GGAGUUUGGGCCGUGUCUCAGUCCCAAUGUGGCCGUCCGCCCUCUCAGGCCGGCUACAGAUCGUCGCUUUGGUAGGCCGUUACCCUGCCAACUGGCUAAUCUGACGCGGGCCCAUCUCAUACCACCGGAGUUUUUCACACUGCAUCAUGCGAUGCUGUGCGCUUAUGCGGUAUUAACAGUCGUUUCCAGCUGUUAUCCCCCAGUAUGAGGCAGGUUGCCCACGCGUUACUCACCCGUCCGCCACUAAGUUUACUCAAGAUUCUGCCGAAGCUUCAUCAGCGAGUAAACUCCGUUCGACUUGCAUGUGUUAGGCACGCCGCCAGCGUUCAUCCUGAGCCAUGAUCAAACUACU
rnacentral:rRNA from 1 species